rnacentral:lncRNA from 1 species
UUGCCAUUUGUGUGACCAACUGCAUGUUCAUAAAAUUAAUCGGUGACCAGGUAAAAAUAUUUUUAGCAUCUGUGUGAUUGUGUGGGGUGAGAGGGUUAUCUAACCCUACUCAUUGAGUUUGGCGCUCACCCCUGCCUACCUAUUUUUUUUCAGGUAAUAGAAGAAAGUCCUAUGGAGUUGAAACAUUAAUUAUAGAAGACUGUUAAUGAGAAAAUAAUGAUGUAAA